CAACCUGCAACUCGGGAGAGAGAAAGAGGAGACGCUUAGCAUUUAGUAUAUACUUAACAUUAUGAUGUUCCACUUGGACUUGGCUGACCCUAAAUAGCUCUGUGACCUUGACCAGAUCACCUGACCCUGUAUUUCUUAGUCCGUAAAAGGGGUAUAAUUGGUCUCACUGGCCUGUGUGAAAGAUAAAUAUUAUAAUGUACUUAAUAAAAUGGAAGCGAUUAUGAACAAUAGAAUGACCAGCAGUUGUUGAGAGCUCUGAAAGGCCUUCCCAGACAUUAUCUCACCAAUCACCACACCAGCCUUGUGACUUAGGUGUUACUUUCAACACUCCUGUGUAGGUCAGGAAAGCACAUCCAGAGCUAGUCCAGAAUUAUUGAAAACCAGGUUCUCUGGCUCUAAAUCCAGUGUUCCUUCUUCUGAUCCAGUGGUGCCAGCCUUUUUUGGAGGGUGGGGGUCGGGGUACCCUACCUGUCUGUAAGAAACUGCAAGAAAGUUAAAAUGUCUCUCCUGCAGAAAUUUCCAGUUGAAGAAUGCCACUACCGUGCCAGUAGAUGGGAGAUUAUGCACAAAUUAGCACUAGUUCUGGGGGAGUUAAAAUCAGUCACCAUUCAUCUUUGAGCAAAAUUGUGUAGCCAUGAUUCCCAGGCAUCCCCUGAGACCUUCCUGGGUAUUCUAUACCCUGCCUCUAGGUAGAGGUGAUGGAGGAAAAUCUGAAGCUGUAGCACAUGCUGAAGUAUUUAGGAACUUACUGAGUUCCCCUUAUUGAGGAUAGCUAUUGAUAGAUUUUAAAUGUCUACACCUGAGAAGGACCCCCAGGCUGCAUGAUGAAAGAGAAGGAAGUGGAGAAGAUCCACUUAUGGUGGAAGUAGCCUCUUUCCAAACCCGGAUGUCAAGUAACAACUUUGCUUUCACCAGAUUCAGGUAAUACGGACUCUGUGCAGCCACCCAAUAGGUACUGUCCUGUACUUGGUCUGGGGGGCCACUUGAUGACUAUGGCAGGCUACUCCUCAAAGCACUUCUAGCAUAGGAGAGGCCUGUACCUUGAUAAUCAAGCCUGGCAUAGGUACCACAGGAGCUGGAAAUCAAGGGAAUAAGAUAGCCCUCAACCCUGACGCAUCUAGAGGACCGCCAUCUGGAUAACCUCAACUUCUCUCUGUGGCCAGACCCAGAGGAUUCAAGCCUGGUGUGUCUGGAUGAGUGUGAAGCUAUUCUCAUCACUUAUAUUUUGUUUCAAAGCUGAAACUUGGGUGCCAGAGGGCCUAGUGGGUUUCCAUCUCCUAGCUCCUAAACGUGUGCCCUUCCAUUGCCAUUCAUUAGGUUACUCAACUAUUUAGAGAAUACUUUCUCAGCCCUAGGGAUCUAAUGAUGAAUGAAAACAGACUGACUCUAGUCCAGAAUCUAGAAGCUUCCAUUUACUCCUAGGUGUCCUAGUUUUCCUGAAGAAAAAGCCCCAAAGUCAUCAGAGACAGUGCUUGUACAACACACUCCCACCAGCCACAUGACUGACAUACAGCAAUCUGUUUAUUUUCUAGAGGCCCAGUUUCCUCAUCUGCCAAAUGUCGAUAUUACCUAUUUUCCAAACUUUGGGGGCUUACACUUCCUUCCCAUCGAUGGUCUCAGAGCUCUCACCGCGGACACCCGAGAUUGAGAUUCGAGGAAAGCUCCGGAAAAGACUCGGCUCUCAGUAACAACCCUCUUCCCCAAGGCUCUUGGAAAGGCUGGAUCUGAACAACGCUGCCUGCAUGACCUCAAUUCCCCAACCUAAAUGAAAGCUGAGAAGCACCCAACCGAAACCCGCACCCCCCACCCCAACCACCCUACGGGGGGGGGGGGGGGGGGGGGGGGAGGGGUGCGGUCCCGUACUCAGGGUGUCUACAAGUCUACUCAGGGUGUCUACAGUCCUGAAGCUGCUUUUAUUUUUAUUAAUGUAUUUUUCAGGCCGAAAAAAGGCACAUGCACGCACGCACACCGCACACAGGUUCACACCCAGUGGGUUCUGGCAGGUACAGAGGAGACCCGGUGCUCCAGACUGUAAAGUGUCUUGAUCCCAGCCUGGCCUCCCUCCCCCAGUGAUUAAUAAAAGACCGGCCAUGGGGAGCCGGCGUUCUGGUUUUCAUUGUACAGGCUGCACUGGGUGACACAGGACAUGUGGAAAAUUUUUGAGAGCGCUGCUGCGGUGAAUGGCGUGGAGGGGGGGAGGGAGCGUGGGGAGGGGGAGGGGAACGAGUUACUUUUUAGCUUCCGCUAAGCACUUGGCAGCGCGCCAGGCCCGAAGGAUUCUGGGAAGCGAGAGCCUCCCCGGUAUAAACUGCCAGCUCUAAGCAGCCCUGACAGCUCUGCUCCUUCCCAAACCUGGCAGCCGUUCAAAGUGCUCUUUCAUUCGGGAUGCUGGAAGCCUGCCAUGUGCAAUGCAGAUUUCGCUGUGCCUGUGCGCAGAAGGAACUGAUAAAUGCCGUUGCGGUUGCCAUGGGGACGGGAGGCUAUCAGAAUGGCCUUGUGAUCCGCAGCCUCCUCGCGGCGCGGCAGGCUCUCGCUCCGCGCUCCCGCCCCGCCUCCCGCGAGUCGGUGAGAUGGUGAAAUCAAUGUUCUGGAAAAAAAGGUUAACCCUCCCCGCUCUGGUGCCGAGCUUCGUGAGCCUCUGAGCACUUCCCUGGCCUUCAGUGCCACCGGCAGCCCCAAGGGCCUCCUUAACCCUGGGCAGGUCACCAUACCCUCCAAACCCCCCAC